UACCAGCACCCCGAGUGGUCGGGACGAUUAUUGGGCCUAAAGCAUCCGUAGCCGGUUCUACAAGUCUUCCGUUAAAUCCACCUGCUCAACAGUUGGGCUGCGGAGGAUACUAUAGAGCUAGGAGGCGGGAGAGGCAAGCGGUACUUAGUGGGUAGGGGUAAAAUCCGUUGAUCCAUUGAAGACCACCAGUGGCGAAGGCGGCUUGCCAGAACGCACUCGACGGUGAGGGAUGAAGCUGGGGAGCAAACCGG
rnacentral:rRNA from 1 species